UCUACCAACUCAAUAUUGGCAAUAGAUUAAAUUUACAUUCUAAAAAUAUGCCAUUGGAAUAAUUAGAAUCAUGUUGUUGAACUGCAGUACAAAAAAAGUUGCCGGUGCGGUUGGACAAAACAUACGAGUGCUUUCGAAAUGUACCAGCAUAUUGAGUUCCAUAUAUGUUUUUUCGCGUACCAUGACGUAAAACCAAUGCCACGCACGGUUUUUAAUUCUUAACGUUAAACCAGUGAUGCCACGAAAAUGUUCAGGAAAGGCUGCAAACCAGGAAAUCCAAAAUUGAAUCACCGUUUUCUCAACAUGUUGUUCUUCAUUAUGGGACAAGUCUACCGGUGGCGAAUAAUUAAGGACUGGAUUCGUACUAAUUUGGCACAAAAUCCUUCACUGAUCAAAUGCUUGAAACAGAGUCUAUAAAUUCCAGCAGGAAACUCGAAGGUCAAAUUACUUCAAUUUAAAACUAAAAUCACACAAGAAAUCGUCAACGCAUUUAAUUAUAACCAAUCAUAUCAGAUGUAUUCAAUAAAUUACAAUUUAGCACCGUACCAAAUAACAAUAUGUUGAUAUACAAACCAACUUUACUGCUAAGAAAAUAAACAACAUCACCGAGGACCAACCAUUUGCAUAUAAAGUAUGCAAAUGACAAUGCUUUACUUUGAUCAAUAUAUAAGCGCAACCCGUUUCGACAAAGGAUGUUACUUCUUGGACUAACACUUUAUUACUGAUAGUAAGAAAAGCAAUUACCCAAACCAAACCUAUUUCAUUAGUGCUUCUCUAUCAAUUAUAUCCAAGGACAUGUCAUUCUAGAGCUGUAUAACACCCUAAAACAUAAUUUACU